rnacentral:rRNA from 1 species
UACGUAGGGGGCAAGCGUUGUCCGGAAUUACUGGGCGUAAAGCGUGCGUAGGCGGUUCUCCAAGUCCGUUGUGAAAGCCCCGGGCUCAACCUGGGAAUGGCAGUGGAAACUAGGGGACUGGAAUCUGGCAGAGGGGGGUGGAAUGCCGCGUGUAGCAGUGAAAUGCGUAGAGAUGCGGCGGAACACCGAUGGCGAAGGCAGCCCCCUGGGCUGAGAUUGACGCUCAGGCACGAAAGCGUGGGGAGCAAACAGG